GUAGGUGGCAAGCGUUGUCCGGAAUUAUUGGGCGUAAAGCGCGCGCAGGCGGUCCUUUAAGUCUGAUGUGAAAGCCCACGGGCUCAACCGUGGAGGGUCAUUGGAAACUGGGGGACUUGAGUACAGAAGAGGAAAGCGGAAUUCCAAGUGUAGCGGUGAAAUGCGUAGAGAUUUGGAGGAACACCAGUGGCGAAGGCGGCUUUCUGGUCUGUAACUGACGCUGAGGCGCGACAGCGUGGGGAGCAAACAGGAUUAGAUACCCUGGUAGUCCACGCCGUAAACGAUGAGUGCUAAGUGUUAGGGGGUUUCCGCCCCUUAGUGCUGCAGCUAACGCAUUAAGCACUCCGCCUGGGGAGUACGGCCGCAAAGGCUG
rnacentral:rRNA from 1 species